rnacentral:rRNA from 1 species
GGACAAUGGGCGCAAGCCUGAUCCAGCCAUGCCGCGUGAGUGAUGAAGGCCUUAGGGUUGUAAAGCUCUUUCACCGGAGAAGAUAAUGACGGUAUCCGGAGAAGAAGCCCCGGCUAACUUCGUGCCAGCAGCCGCGGUAAUACGAAGGGGGCUAGCGUUGUUCGGAAUUACUGGGCGUAAAGCGCACGUAGGCGGAUAUUUAAGUCAGGGGUGAAAUCCCAGAGCUCAACUCUGGAACUGCCUUUGAUACUGGGUAUCUUGAGUAUGGAAGAGGUAAGUGGAAUUCCGAGUGUAGAGGUGAAAUUCGUAGAUAUUCGGAGGAACACCAGUGGCGAAGGCGGCUUACUGGUCCAUUACUGACGCUGAGGUGCGAAAGCGUGGGGAGCAAAC